rnacentral:tRNA from 1 species
GACCUUGUAGCUCAGAUGGUAGAGCAUCGUUCUACAAAUACGAAGGUCGCGGGUUCGAAUCCCAGUCGCGGUCA